rnacentral:rRNA from 1 species
AGCCUGAUGCAGCCAUGCCGCGUGUAUGAAGAAGGCCUUCGGGUUGUAAAGUACCAGCGAGGAAGGCAUUAGGUUAAUAGCGUAGGUUGACGUUAGCGACAGAAGAAGCACCGGCUAACUCCGUGCCAGCAGCCGCGGUAAUACGGAGGGUGCGAGCGUUAAUCGGAAUUACUGGGCGUAAAGCGCAUGCAGGUGGUUUGUUAAGUCAGAUGUGAAAGCCCGGGGCUCAACCUCGGAACCGCAUUUGAAACUGGCAGGCUAGAGUACUGUAGAGGGGGGUAGAAUUUCAGGUGUAGCGGUGAAAUGCGUAGAGAUCUGAAGGAAUACCAGUGGCGAAGGCGGCCCCCUGGACAGAUACUGACACUCAGAUGCGAAAGCGUGGGGAGCAAACAGGAUUAGAUACCCUGGUAGUCCACGCCGUAAACGAUGUCUACUGGUUGUGGCCUUGAGCCGUGGCUUUCGGAGCUAACGCGUUAAGUAGCCGCCUG